GCGGUGUUUGGCACCUCGAUGUCGGCUCAUCACAUCCUGGGGCUGAAGUAGGUCCCAAGGGUAUGGCUGUUCGCCAUUUAAAGUGGUACGCGAGCUGGGUUUAGAACGUCGUGAGACAGUUCGGUCCCUAUCUGCCGUGGGCGCUGGAGAACUGAGGGGGGCUGCUCCUAGUACGAGAGGACCGGAGUGGACGCAUCACUGGUGUUCGGGUUGUCAUGCCAAUGGCACUGCCCGGUAGCUAAAUGCGGAAGAGAUAAGUGCUGAAAGCAUCUAAGCACGAAACUUGCCCCGA
rnacentral:rRNA from 1 species